rnacentral:rRNA from 1 species
AGUGAACGCUGGCGGUAGGCCUAACACAUGCAAGUCGAACGGCAGCACAGGUGAGCUUGCUCUCUGGGUGGCGAGUGGCGGACGGGUGAGGAAUACAUCGGAAUCUACUCUGUCGUGGGGGAUAACGUAGGGAAACUUACGCUAAUACCGCAUACGACCUACGGGUGAAAGCAGGGGACCUUCGGGCCUUGCGCGAUUGAAUGAGCCGAUGUCGGAUUAGCUGGUUGGCGGGGUAAAGGCCCACCAAGGCGACGAUCCGUAGCUGGUCUGAGAGGAUGAUCAGCCACACUGGAACUGAGACACGGUCCAGACUCCUACGGGAGGCAGCAGUGGGGAAUAUUGGACAAUGGGCGCAAGCCUGAUCCAGCCAUACCGCGUGGGUGAAGAAGGCCUUCGGGUUGUAAAGCCCUUUUGUUGGGAAAGAAAUCCAGCUGGCUAAUACCCGGUUGGGAUGACGGUACCCAAAGAAUAAGCACCGGCUAACUUCGUGCCAGCCGCCGCAGUAA